rnacentral:tRNA from 1 species
AGAUAAUGAACUUGUAUAAGUAUUUAUUUUGAAAAUAAAAAAAAGAGAAUAAAUUCUCUAUUAUCUU